rnacentral:rRNA from 1 species
UACGGAGGGAGCUAGCGUUGUUCGGAAUUACUGGGCGUAAAGCGCACGUAGGCGGUCUUGUAAGUUAGAGGUGAAAGCCCGGGGCUCAACUCCGGAACUGCCUUUAAGACUGCAUCGCUUGAAUCCGGGAGAGGUGAGUGGAAUUCCGAGUGUAGAGGUGAAAUUCGUAGAUAUUCGGAAGAACACCAGUGGCGAAGGCGGCUCACUGGACCGGUAUUGACGCUGAUGUGCGAAAGCGUGGGGAGCAAACAGG